CUGAGGUCGCUUUUUCAAAGUUAAGAUAACACCACUCGGAUCCUCUCGUAGUGCAUUCACCAAAUUUUUCAACUGCCACCCCACCACAGUUUGGUGGUUAACUUGAAUCACUUCAUCUCCAGCAUGGAUUUUCUUGCACCGAUCUGCAGGUGACUGAAUUUAAAAUAAAAGAGAUGAUAAAGAAUACAGUCCUUACUGGUCAUCAUCUCUCUUUCAGCAGUAUGAUUGCUAAGGUAUGUAAAUCAGGUUAGACUGGUAAUUACAUUCCACUGUGAAACAAACAAUUAAAUAAAUGUUUAAUAAAUCAAUUCAUUGUUGGGGAAAAAUAAUAUGUACAAUUGUACACAAUACAAUCAACUGUUAAGGAAGGUACGAAUAUAUAUAUGUUUAUUAAAGGAUAAUCAAGUCUUAAAAUCUUUUUUAUCAUUUCA
rnacentral:lncRNA from 1 species